GAGCCAUANGGUCAAGCGGUUAAGACACCGCCCUUUCACGGCGGUAACACGGGUUCGAAUCCCGUACGGGUCA
rnacentral:tRNA from 1 species